CCCGCUGAGUUUAAGCAUAUCAAUAAGCGGAGGAAAAGAAACUAACAAGGAUUCCCUUAGUAACUGUUGGUGUCAAAAUUGG
rnacentral:ncRNA from 2 species